rnacentral:rRNA from 1 species
UACGAAGGGGGCUAGCGUUGUUCGGAAUUACUGGGCGUAAAGCGCACGUAGGCGGACUACUAAGUCAGGGGUGAAAUCCCGGGGCUCAACCCCGGAACUGCCUUUGAUACUGAUAGUCUCGAGUCCGGAAGAGGAGAGUGGAAUUACCUGGUGUAGCGGUGAAAUGCGCAGAUAUCAGGAAGAACACCCGUGGCUAAGGCGGCUCUCUAGUACGGUACUGACGCUGAGACGCGAAAGCGUGGGGAGCGAACAGG